UGCAGUCGAGGGGCAUCACGUGUAGCAAUACAUGGUGGCGACCGGCGGAAGGGUGCGUAACGCGUGAGCAACAUGCCCGUAUCAGGGGGAUAAACCAGGGAAACUUGGUCUAAUACCGCAUAAUAAGUUUCUAAGGCAUCUUAGGGAUUUUAAAGUUUUGGUGGAUACGGAUUGGCUCGCGUGACAUUAGCUAGAUGGUAAGGUAACGGCUUACCAUGGCAACGAUGUCUAGGGGUUCUGAGAGGAAGAUCCCCCACACUGGAACUGAGACACGGUCCAGACUCCUACGGGAGGCAGCAGUGAGGAAUAUUGGACAAUGGAUGGAAAUCUGAUCCAGCCAUGCCGCGUGCAGGAAGACAGCCCUAUGGGUUUUAAACUGCUUUUAUACGGGAGCAAUAAGGACUAUGCGUAGUUUGAUGAGAGUACCGUACGAAUAAGCACCGGCUAACUCCGUGCCAGCAGCCGCGGUAAUACGGAGGGUGCAAGCGUUAUCCGGAUUUAUUGGGUUUAAAGGGUGCGUAGGCGGUUUUAUAAGUCAGCGGUGAAAUUUUUCAGCUUAACUGGAACAAUGCCGUUGAUACUGUAAAGCUGGAAUAUGGUUGCUGUGGGUGGAAUGUGUGGUGUAGCGGUGAAAUGCUUAGAUAUCACACAGAAUAUCGAUUG
rnacentral:rRNA from 1 species